UACGAAGGGGGCUAGCGUUGCUCGGAAUCACUGGGCGUAAAGCGCACGUAGGCGGCUUCUUAAGUCAGGGGUGAAAUCCUGGAGCUCAACUCCAGAACUGCCUUCGAUACUGGAAGACUUGAGUCCGGGAGAGGUGAGUGGAACUGCGAGUGUAGAGGUGAAAUUCGUAGAUAUUCGCAAGAACACCAGUGGCGAAGGCGGCUCACUGGCCCGGUACUGACGCUGAGGUGCGAAAGCGUGGGGAGCAAACAGGG
rnacentral:rRNA from 1 species